AAGACUAUAGACCUGCGGAGUACCUGCGGAAGGAUCAUUAACGUAUCUAUGAUGGGGUGCGGAGCGCCCUGCUCCGGUCGAACGGCCGUGCAGCGGGUGCGCCGCCCCCGUCCCACCUCACAAACCCACUGUGGACAUUCACCGGUGGAGGGGGCUCGGUCUGCGCCGUGUCCCCGAUGCCGAAUACCCAAACUCCAGUUGCAAAGAACGUCGUGCGGACUCGGUGCCGCCUAAAACAUG
rnacentral:misc_RNA from 1 species